GGGGCCGGGGACGGGGCGCGGCGGGGCUCGGCAGGCAGAGGCUCCUUGACAGGAGGAGGGGGACGAGCGCCCCCUCCCCCAUUGCCGAACCGAGCAGUCUUUUAUGGCAGUUUUCCCGGCCCGCUGCGGCUGUCUUCCCGUGACAAGAAACUUAAGGUCGGCGGAAAAUUGAGGACCCGGAGUAGCGGGUGCCUCCCGGCCGACGUGCGGACAGUACCCUCCGCGGGACCCAGUCGUGUAUAUUGUCGUCUUUGAUGCCAAAGCAUGAGAUGCCCUAGCAAUGUUUUGACCUUUAGGAGAGAGCCAAUUCUGGAGAACAACCUAACUUCUUUGAUUGAACAUUCACAUAAUGCAUUGGAACAUGAUAGGAGGUUAAGGUGAAUAACAACAAAAUGAAGACCAUAUAAAACAAGCCCCCUACUUAGCCCUGCAAUUCUUACCUUUCUUACCUACUUGAUGAAGAUGUCAUUUGAAUGGUGUACUGCAAGGAAUUAAAUGCUGUUUGUAAAUUAUGCUUUUACCAAGGUGGAUAUUACUAUCCCUUAUUCAUGGAAAAAGUUAUAUUCUAAGUGUUGUUUCCCAUUGAGUAUUAGCAAAAAGGAGAAAAAUUAAUGUCCUAAACUUUUGAGAUAGAUUUGGCUCUAGUAAGUAUUUAGACUUAUUAUUAAUAGGGUUGGCCAAAAAGUUCGUUCGGUUUUUUUUCCAUAAGGCUCUAGUAGCGAGCACUUAGUUGUCUUUAACUUCAUUCGAAACAGUUUUGUUAGGUUGUAUUGUGACAGCUGUCAUAUCAGAGUGCAUUUUUAAAAAAACUUAUCAAAAUUGGUGAAUUUUUGUGUAGCCAUUUUAGUAUUGAAGAUGGAAGAAAAAAGCAACAUUUUCGGCAUAUUAUUGCUUUAUUAUUUCAAGAAAGGGAAAAACACAACUGAAACGUAAAAAAGGAUUUGUGCAUUGUGUGGAGAAGGUGCUGUGACUGAUCGAACGUGUCAAAAGUGGUUUGCAAAGUUUUGUGCUGGAGAUUUCUUGCUGGACGAUGCUCCACGGUUGGGUAGACCAAUUGAAGUUGAUAGGGAUCAAAUCAAGACAUUAAUUGAGAACGACCAACGUUAUACCACGUGGGAGAUAGCCGACAUACUCACAAUAUCCAAAUCAAGCUUUGAAAAUCAUUUGCAGCAGCUUGGUUAUGUUAAUCGCUUUGAUGUUUGGGUUCCACAUAAGUUAAGCGAAAAAAACCUUCCUGACCACAUUUCCGCCUGUGAUUCUCUACUUAAACGUAACGAAAACAUUCCGUUUUUAAAACAAAUUGUGAUGGGCAAUGAAAACUGGAUACUGUACAAUAAUGUGGAACAGAAGAGAUCGUGGGGCAAGUGAAAUGAACCACCACCAACCACACCAAAGUCCGGUCUUCAUCCAAAGAAGGUGACGUUGUGUAUUUGGUGGGAUUGGAAGGGAGUCCCCUCUUAUGAGCUCCUUCCAGAAAACCAAACAAUUAAUUCCAAGAAGUACUGCUCCCAGUUAGACCUACUGAAAUCAGCACUCGAUGAAAAGCAUCCAGAAUUAGUCAACAGAAAACACAUAAUCUGGGACUUCCCUGGCUGUCCAGUGGUUAAGACUCCGUGCUUCCACUGCAGGGGGUGCAGGUCCGAUCCCUGGUCAGGGAACUAAGAUUCCACGUGCCACACAACACGGCCAAAAAUAAAUGAAUAAAUUUAAAAAGCAAAAAGAAAACGCAUAAUCUUCCAUCAGGAUACUGCAAGACUGCAUGUUUCUUUGAUGACUAGGCAAAAAGUGUUACAGCUUGGCUAGGAAGUUCUGAUUCAUCCAUCAUAUUCACCGGACAUUGCACCUUCGGAUUUCCAUUUAUUUCGGUCUUUACAAAAUUCUCUUAAUGGAAAAAAUUUCAAUUCCCUGCAAGACUAUAAAAGGCACCUAGAAUAGUUCUUUGCUCAAAAAGAUAAAAAAUUUUGGGAAGAAGGAAUUAUGAAGUUGCCUGAAAAAUGGCAGAAGGUAGUAGAACAAAAGGGCGAAUACGUUGUUCAAUAAAGUUCUUGGUGAAAAUGAAAAAUGUGUCUUUUAUUUUUACUUAAAACCCAAAGGAAUUUUUUGGCCAACCCAAUACUUACAUGUCUGGGAGAAGAAGUAAGAGACCAUCAUCAGUACAUUUCCAGCUAAAAUUUUUUAUUUUCUUACCUCUUAUCAAGGGAUUUCCUAAAAUUUCUGUUUUAUUACUAAUAGUUUGAGGCCCUUUAAUGGAGAAUUAAU